UGCUUAUCCUCUUCAUCCAUCCCAUCCCACCCCACCCCACUAAUCCACUAUCCAGAAUCUUCCACCGCACCCCACCGUCUAGAAUCUCCCAUCAUACCCCACCUCGCGACACUGCAACUUUGGGCUCGGUAGUCCACUUUCCCACCGGCCUCUGCCAGCAGCUUCACACCUGACUCCGACUUCAGUCCCGUCACAGAGAGGAGCACGGUGUGGCUGUCGUCGGAGUCGAUUGACGCCAUUCGAGCUCUGAGUUUUUUUUUUCUUUUUCAGAUCUGAGAUUGAUGAGAAAAUGUGAGUCGUCGGUGUCGUUUUCACCGUUGCCAGAGUUGGAGUACCACAGAGCUUAUCGCGCCGCAGUUCCGCAAAUCUAGUCCCGGAGUGUUGUUUUGGCAAACAUGAUAAAACUAAAUAAAUUGGAAUCUAAUCAAUCUAUGGCCACAGAUAGUGAGGGGAAAGUUUUUCCGCUUUCACCAUUAAUUUGGUUUUCCAUUCUCAGUGUGACAUUGUAAAUUAAUUAAGGCAAAACCACAAAAGUGAUAUGUUGAUCGUUGAGGGAAAUUGAAGCCUUACAUACGGUGGGAAUUAGUUUUUUUUAAAGGAUAAAAUUGACUUUUCAACAACAAAAUUAGUGUUGCACCGGUGGACAACUUACUUGCUAUUUCACGGUAGCCUACGCUGGGCUAUAAGGCCUUAUGGGUCAGAAAAUUGAGUUUGGGCCUUUGACUUCAAUGUGAACCCAAGGCACUGAAGGCAACUAGCUAAUUAAGCGUAAGUUGUAAAGCGCGCGGGAGGAAAUGCUGCCGAGUACUAGUAACUUAAAGUUUUCUCGGUGGACUUUCUUCAAACACCUUACGCCACGGAAAUUCAAAUUAACACCACCGCUCUGUCAGCACAAAUCCCUUGCCACUCUCUCCCACUUCGGAACCCUAACCUCCCGCCAGAAAGACCAGAUUCAUCUAUACGUUGAAACUCUUCUGCAAUGGAACAAGGUAUUCAGUUUCUCCCACUCACACAACACAACACAAACGCACACUCUCCCUUGACAUGUUACACAUAACAAUUGCAAUUGCUGCGCAUGAACCUUACAGCAGUUAGAGAGGUGAAUGAAGGGAUGGAAAGACACGUGGAAGACUCCGCUCGCACUGCGGCGCUUCGUGCAAUAAGCUGAGUCUCGUCGAUGUCGGAACUGGCGCUGGCCUUCCCGGAAUAGUUUUGGCCAUAACACGCCCUGAGUGGGAUGUAACGCUGAUGGAGUCUAUGAACAAGCGGUGCGUCUUCUUGGAGCACGUUGUCGGUGUUAUCGGUUCCUCAAACAUUCAAAUUGUAAGAGGAAGAGCAGAGAGUUUAGGGCAGGAUCCUUGCUUCAGAGAGCAAUUUGAUGUAGCAGUGGCCAGGGCGGUUGCAGAGAUGAGGAUAUUAGCUGAAUAUUGUCUUCCUUUGGUUCGUGUUGGUGGGUUGUUUAUUGCUGCCAAGGGUCAUGAUCCUGAGGAUGAAAUUAAAAAAGCUGAAAGUGCCAUCCAGAAGGUGGGUGCAUCUCUAUUGCAAGUAUGCUCAGGUUUUUAAAGUUUAUAUUCUGAAUGAAGUGGACUGAUAGGGAAGUAGAAGCAGGGAACACAACACAGGGAGCAGCAAACAACAUCAACAAAGCCCAAGCAACAGAAAACAUAAACAGGGAAGGACAGAGGGUACCAAUAGCAAACAAACCCAAGAGAAGAGUAACAAGGCCCUCAUACAUGAAGGAUUACGCCUGAGGGUAGGAUGGGCAAGGCAAAAUCAGCAGCAUCAGCUCAGCACUAAAACGUAUCUAGCUUGAUUGUGCUUGUCUCCUAUAGUAGGACAAGAAUAACAAAUUCCAUUAGGAAGGAUAUUCCCGUAGGCAAAUGAAUCCAAAUUCUGUUAGAAGGAGGAUCCUAUAUAUAUCAAUGUAAAUAAUCAAUCAAGCACAAUGAAAAAUAUACUUUACUUACAAUUUGCAAUUUCUUUCUUCCCUUUA